CUUUUUGGUUGCUCCACCUAACUUGUGCUUAUAUUUACUCUUUUACCUUUUAUUAACCCCUAAUUGUUUCCACUUUUCCACUGCACUGAUUACACUGUACAAAAUGAAUCCUGGUGCCAAGGAAAUUACACACAAAAAAUCAAGUAUGGCUUAAUUUCUUGAAGCAGUCGCCUUAAAAAAAUAACUAUUAUGUUUUCCCCCAAAUAAAUCAACUACAUUUGCGAGAAAUAUAUUCAGAGAAAAUGUUCCCUAAAAGAAUUGUGGGAAAUUGCACAAUUUCUCGCUGAUAAAUGUGCAGCCUUUUCCUCAAAUAUUUUGAACAUCUGAAAAACGUCCUUCAGUUGAGAUUUUGAAAAGAAUGCCUCGAAGACGGACGCCAUUGAAGUUCAGCAUGGAAUAGUAAAAGGGUUGGCAAAAUGCUCAUCAAGGUCCAGUACCGUGGACUAAAAAAGUACCUCAAACUGCAGCCUGGUUUUUCUUAUGAAAGUUUCAUUGAAGAAGAAUUUGUGCCAGCAGGUUCUUCUACUCUAAAUUCUUCACUUUUCUGAAGUGAUAUGGAGAGGUCCUCUUCAAACAAGGGGCAUCAAUCUCCUGGUGCAGGAGAGAACACCUCUGCCAUAGGGGAUGCAGCAGAAAAGGCCAAAUGGAUGGUCCAGGAGGUUCUGGAGAAGAGUUCAGGAGGAGAGGAAACAAUGGAGGAGUAUAAGAGAUUGAGCACCUUGACACACUGCACAAGACGUUUUGUAAUGUGAAAAAACAAAGUAGAAGCAUUAUUGUGCACAUAUAGCCGCUCACACAACUUGCCUGCAGCGUGACAAGAAAAACCUAAAUUUGGUAGUAGAAUUGUUGUGUAAAAACAAUUUUGAACUGAUGUUUGUCCUUCUUUACACUUCUCAUCUUCUUAAAGGAACUCUGGAUCUCAUUCAUAGUCAGCAUUGGGUCCUUGGUUACCUGUCUGACCAAGGCCCCUUUGUCCCAGGAUUACUCAGUUUGGCUUGCAUUUUUGCGGAGAGUUGGAGGAUUUUGUGUAGAUGUUGAUGAAGAUGAUAUGUUUGUUAUAUCUCUGUCAGUCGUCUGAAUAUUUUUAAAUGUUUUUUUUAAAUGCCCAAGCUAUUGUUAUUUUUUUUUUCUCAACGUCAGGUUUAAUUUACACUGAAUAAAUGCUGUUAAAUGAAAUACUGACUCUCUAAUUGUGUAUAUACACCACAUCCUUUAAAAUGUAU